rnacentral:rRNA from 1 species
GUGCCAAGCAGCCGCGGUAAUUCCAGCUCCAAUAGCGUAUAUUAAAGUUGUUGCAGUUAAAAAGCUCGUAGUUGAACCUUGGGUCUGGCUGGCCGGUCCGCCUCACCGCGUGUACUGGUCCGGCCGGACCUUUCCUUCUGGGGAGCCGCAUGCCCUUCACUGGGCGUGUCGGGGAACCAGGACUUUUACUUUGAAAAAAUUAGAGUGUUCAAAGCAGGCCUUUGCUCGAAUACAUUAGCAUGGAAUAAUAGAAUAGGACGUGCGGUUCUAUUUUGUUGGUUUCUAGGACCGCCGUAAUGAUUAAUAGGGAUAGUCGGGGGCAUCCGUAUUCAAUUGUCAGAGGUGAAAUUCUUGGAUUUAUUGAAGACGAACUACUGCGAAAGCAUUUGCCAAGGAUGUUUUCAUUAAUCAGUGAACGAAAGUUAGGGGAUCGAAGACGAUCGGAUACCGUCGUAGUCUUAACCAUAAACUAUGCCGACUCGGGAUCGGUGGGCGUUACUAUUUUGACUCCAUCGGCACCGUACGAGAAAUCAAAGUUUUUGGGUUCUGGGGGGAGUAUGGUCGCAAGGCUGAAACUUAAAGAAAUUGACGGAAGGGCACCACCAGGCGUGGAGCCUGCGGCUUAAUUUGACUCAACACGGGGAAACUCACCAGGUCCAGACACAAUAAGGAUUGACAGAUUGAGAGCUCUUUCUUGAUUUUGUGGGUGGUGGUGCAUGGCCGUUCUUAGUUGGUGGAGUGAUUUGUCUGCUUAAUUGCGAUAACGAACGAGACCUUAACCUGCUAAAUAGCCCGGCCCGCUUUGGCGGGUCGCCGGCUUCUUAGAGGGACUAUCGGCUCAAGCCGAUGGAAGUUUGAGGCAAUAACAGGUCUGUGAUGCCC